rnacentral:lncRNA from 1 species
UGGGCUAUGACCCUGUUACCUGGCACCGGCUCCAACACUGCUAAGCAACUGUACGGACAAAACUUUCCGUGAACUUUGAAGAAUUGCGGCUUCUCUUUUCCUUAAGAAAAGCGAGAGGACAUUUUGGGAGGGAGAAGACUAUAAUGUGAGAAAUACUCCAGGUAACAAAAGGUUUUCUGUGAAGUUUGGCUGCGCCUCUGGGGAUAAGAGGGAUUCCUUUUACAAGAUGUACGUAGGAAACACAAGAAUCCUUACAUUAAGCAUGCAAUUAAAGUAAUCCAAGAAAGUUUCUUCAUUUUUUUAGAAACAGGCCCACAAAGGUAGCCCAACCCCCCUAUACUUCAUGCUUUUGGAAAAGAUAUAAAAGCCAUGGCAUCUAUCCACAAUCUGAAGACCACUUGAAGUACAGUGUUCAGGUCUUCUGCACUGCGCAACCUACCAUAGGACUGAUUUAACUGAGCUUCAAACAUGCUGUACAGGAAUACACUCAUCUUCCUCUCUCUGGCUGUUCUGCUGGUAAAAGCUGACUUUGAUUUAGAUCAGGGCUCCCAGAACUCGCAAGCAAUGUCCACAGACCAGGACUCCACGUCUGAUGAAGUUCCCACAGAAAGCAUGAAUUCCAUUUCUUCAGAUCAGCCCAAAGAUGAGUCUUACUAUUUCAAUGGAGGGGCUAAAGAUGUUAGCAGCAUAAGCUCUGAAAGUGAUGUUAGUGAACCUCUACCUAGCAACGAAAUCAACGAAGAUGGUACCAAUUCCAGCAUUGAGGAUCAGGAUGAAGACCGGAACUCUAGCAUUGACGAUGAUACAGGGAAACGCUAAAUCGGAUGAAGGGACUGCUGUUGGAUUUUCAAGGAAAGAGACAAAUGCUAGGGCCUGCAUUCUUCUGUUUUAGUUACAAAUAGAUUGUUAAACUGAUUUUGUCAAAUUUUGACUUUUAAUUUGUGAUUAUCUUCUCAUGCAUACAGUAUUUUACACUUUUUAAAAAUAAUACUUUCAAAUGGAUAAAAAAAGGAAAAUAAUAUUUCUUUCUUACAUGAUACCUUGCAUUUUUUAAUAAACUUUCCCAAG